AUUGAACGCUGGCGGCAUGCUUUACACAUGCAAGUCGAACGGCAGCGCGGGCUUCGGCCUGGCGGCGAGUGGCGAACGGGUGAGUAAUACAUCGGAACGUGCCCAGUAGUGGGGGAUAGCUCGGCGAAAGCCGGAUUAAUACCGCAUACGACCUGAGGGUGAAAGCGGGGGAUCUUCGGACCUCGCGCUAUUGGAGCGGCCGAUGGCAGAUUAGCUAGUUGGUGGGGUAAAGGCCUACCAAGGCGACGAUCUGUAGCUGGUCUGAGAGGGCGACCGGCCACACUGGGACUGAGACACGGCCCAGACUCCUACGGGAGGCAGCAGUGGGGAAUAUUGCACAAUGGGCGGAAGCCUGAUGCAGCAACGCCGCGUGCGGGAUGACGGCCUUCGGGUUGUAAACCGCUUUCGCCUGUGACGAAGCGUGAGUGACGGUAAUGGGUAAAGAAGCACCGGCUAACUACGUG
rnacentral:rRNA from 1 species